rnacentral:rRNA from 1 species
CCUACGGGAGGCAGCAGUGGGGAAUUUUGGACAAUGGGCGCAAGCCUGAUCCAGCAAUGCCGCGUGAGUGAAGAAGGCCUUCGGGUUGUAAAGCUCUUUUGUCAGGGAAGAAACGGCCGAGGCUAAUACCUUUGGCUAAUGACGGUACCUGAAGAAUAAGCACCGGCUAACUACGUGCCAGCAGCCGCGGUAAUACGUAGGGUGCAAGCGUUAAUCGGAAUUACUGGGCGUAAAGCGUGCGCAGGCGGUUUUGUAAGUCUGUCGUGAAAGCCCCGGGCUCAACCUGGGAAUUGCGAUGGAGACUGCAAGGCUUGAAUCUGGCAGAGGGGGGUAGAAUUCCACGUGUAGCAGUGAAAUGCGUAGAGAUGUGGAGGAACACCGAUGGCGAAGGCAGCCCCCUGGGUCAAGAUUGACGCUCAUGCACGAAAGCGUGGGGAGCAAACAGGAUUAGAUACCCUGGUAGUCCACGCCCUAAACGAUGUCUACUAGUUGUCGGGUUUUAAUUAACUUGGUAACGCAGCUAACGCGUGAAGUAGACCGCCUGGGGAGUACGGUCGCAAGNUUAAAACUCAAAGGAAUUGACGGCUGAGACGNGCGAGACGACGACGAGGGAGAGG